rnacentral:lncRNA from 1 species
GCCAUCCCAACGAAGCAAGGCAGCCAACCCCAUCGCACAUCCAGCCGAAGAGUCAUCUUCUUCCCAAGGUAUUCUUCCCACAGGUGGUUCUUCCCAAAGAUUUCCAAGGUUCCAACGCCUCCCCAGGUGGCUCUUCCCAACAUUCCAAAGUCAGCCACGUCUUCAUCCCAUCACAAGAUGUGCAACCGGCUUCUUCACAAGUAAACCCACCCGGUUCCAAGCCCUCUAGCCGUUCCUUGAAGAAUCCCAAGGGGCAUCCCGUUCUUCAUCCCAAAGCACCAGCCGGGUUCAUCCAUCAAGACCGGUUCCUACCGUUGCAAAUGAAAAAGUCCAACAGAUCCAACGCUGGAGUCUUCCAUCGCCUUGUUUCAAGGAGAUCUCAGCCGGUUCUCCACUUGCCAUGGGAUCUUAAAUGCUGCCGUUUCCCAACCGAGAAGAAGCCAUCCCGGUUCUCCAUCACGAAUCUUCCCAGCUUCUGCGAUUCCUUGGAAGUGUUUAUUGCCCAUCAAUGCCAUCAAUGCCUCAACCAGUUUAUGGGUCCAUGGGUUUUUAUUUAUUUUUUAUCAUGUAAUUGGUUGCCCUGCCUAUAAAGAAGGGUUUAUCUUGUUAUGUAAAGGGAGAUGAAUGAAUUAAGCAAAUGAAUAUGAAAGUGUUUUGAGUAUUUUGAAAAGAAAGAGGUGAGGCUCUCUCUCUUGCUUCCCUCCCCUUGAGUUCUCCCUUCCUCUUGAGUGAAAGCGGCCUCUCCCUGUCUUCCGCAAGUUCUUCUAGCGCA